rnacentral:ncRNA from 1 species
UUAUUGGAGAGUUUGAUCCUGGCUCAGGACGAACGCUGGCGGCGUGCCUAAUACAUGCAAGUCGAGCGGACUUGAGGGAGCUUGCUCCCGAUGGUCAGCGGCGGACGGGUGAGUAACACGUGGGCAACCUGCCUGUAAGACUGGGAUAACUCCGGGAAACCGGGGCUAAUACCGGAUAAUUCAUUCCCUCACAUGGGGGAAUGCUGAAAGACGGCUUUUGCUGUCACUUACAGAUGGGCCCGCGGCGCAUUAGCUAGUUGGUGAGGUAACGGCUCACCAAGGCCACGAUGCGUAGCCGACCUGAGAGGGUGAUCGGCCACACUGGGACUGAGACACGGCCCAGACUCCUACGGGAGGCAGCAGUAGGGAAUCUUCCGCAAUGGACGAAAGUCUGACGGAGCAACGCCGCGUGAGCGAAGAAGGCCUUCGGGUCGUAAAGCUCUGUUGUCAGGGAAGAACAAGUACCGGAGUAACUGCCGGUACCUUGACGGUACCUGACCAGAAAGCCACGGCUAACUACGUGCCAGCAGCCGCGGUAAUACGUAGGUGGCAAGCGUUGUCCGGAAUUAUUGGGCGUAAAGCGCGCGCAGGCGGUCCU